rnacentral:lncRNA from 1 species
AAGGAUCAAGUAAAACCUUGCAAUUAAUGUCGGUUUGAUCCGAUGGCCCAGAUUCAUAUGAAAAGACUAUAUAAGCAAGGCCCCCUGGCCCCUGGAGAUCAUACCUCUUCUACAGAAUCAAAGUUAGGGUUUCAAUUCUUCAUCCAAGUAGAGAGGAUCCCUCAAGUUCAUCUAGAUCUACCUCUAGUUCAUCUAGUUCUAUUUCUAGUUCAUCUAGUUCUAGUUCUAGUUUGUUCUAGUUGUAAUCUAGAAAAUAGGGAGAGAGAAUAGGAGAGCGGACGAGGAGCCGGAUCUGUCGGAUCUUCCUCAACAUUAUACUUUUGCCGCAACUGGUUCGUUCUUCAUCAUUCUCCAAGUUCUUCAAUUCAUAAUUCCUGAGUUCUUUAAUUACUUUUAUUUACAUUCAAGUUAUUUAUUGGAUUCUUGCUUGCAUCGAGUGCUCUAGUCUUUAUAAUGCUAAAGUAGUAAUUAAUAGACUAGACGUGAUGUUUAGUCUUGCAAUUACAUGGAAUUGCACCCAAUCCUACGGAUUGUUGUGGUAGCCCUAGGGUAGUGACAGCCCUAACGGUCGACGUAUUCCACCUCGUUCGGAUCGGUGUUUGUAGGACCGUAGUCAGAGCUUCCUAGCCCCCUUCUCAUCUCUUUCUGUGGUUAGUGUUCUGAUGACCUGAAAGAUAAUCUUGAAGUAAUUCUUGAUUCUUAGAUCAUCUAGAGAACUCUCAGGAAACUUCCUCUCUUCCCACCAAAAAUAAUUAUAUAGUUAUCCUGGGCGAUCUUGGAUCUUAAUUAGUACACUCAUGUUCCCUGUGGAAAAUCGAUACUCUGGAAUACUCCCGGGUGAAGGCUACAUCGGUAUCUGUGCGCUUGCGGAUUUUUCUUUUUGCGUUUAAAAUACCCAACAGUCCUCACCGUGCCUCAACCUAACGAGGACCUGCUUCUCAAUAUAGCAGCAACUGAUCGAGUCGUCUCUACGGUGCUUGUGGUAGAGAGGGAUGAACCAGGCCACCUCUACAAAGUCCAGAGACCAGUAUACUUUAUAAGCGAAGUCCUAAACGAAUAUAAGACCAGGUAUCCCCAGAUACAAAAGUUAAUAUAUGCCAUCUUAAUCAUGUUAAGAAAGCUAAAUAACUAUUUCGAUGGCCAUUGGAUUUUAGUUACUACAAUAUUUCCGUUGGGGGACAUUUUGCGCAACAAGGACACCAACGACAGAAUUGUAAAGUGGGCCAUGGAGUUAUGCCCAUUUUCUUUGGAUUUCCAGAGUCGCACAACCGUCAAGUCCCAAGCUCUGGUCAACUUCAUCAUGGAAUGGACGGAUCUCAACACACCACCCUCUCUAGAGGUCUUCGACAACUGGUUAAUGUUCUUUGACGGGUCCUUAAACACCAAUGAAGCCAGCGCCGGAAUACUUUUUAUUUCACCAAACAAGGACAAACUACGCUACAUCCUUAGGAUCCUCUUACCAGCAUCCAACAAUGUCACCGAGUACGAAGCAUACCUGCAUGGCAUCCGAUUGGCCGUUGAACUAGGAGUCAAACGCCUUUACAUCUACGGCGACUCUGCUCUGGUCAUCAACCAGUUAAAUAAGGAGUGAGACACGACUCAUGAGAGGAUGGACCUGUACUACAACGAAAUCCGGAGGUGGGAAUCAAAUUAUUACGGCAUAGAAUACAUACACGUGGUCCGAGACAAGAACCAAGCAGCAGAUGCGCUGUCAAAGAUAGGAUCAUCCCAGGCCCAGAUUCUGCAAGGUGUUUUUGUUCACGACAUUCACACACCAAGCGUCGAAAUGGACCUGGUCGACAAGCCACCCAACGAGACGCUGCUCGUAGGAAACACCGCUCUGACAACUGAUGGCAACGACUGGCGCGCUCCUUUCGUUAAGUACCUCUUGGACGAUUCGGGAUUUCAAGAGAAAACAGAGAACGAACGUCUUAUCCGACAAGCCAAAAACUAUAUACUGGCCAACGGUAAACUUAUGCGCAAGAAUGCAAGCUCGGAAGUCUUGUUGAAAUGCAUAACUCAAGACGAUGGCAUCAAGCUGCUAGACGACAUACACGCUGGGUCCUGUGGCAAUCACGUUGCUUCUAGAACGUUGGUUGAAAAGGCUUUCUGAGUAGGUUUUUACUGGCGAACCGCAGUCGCUGAUGCCGAGAAGCUGGUCCGGCAUUGCGAAGGGUGCCAGUUCUUCGCCAAGAGGAUCCACCUACCUGCUCAGAAGAUCCAGACCAUUCCGUCGUCUUGGCCGUUUGCCUGUUGGGGCCUCGACAUGAUUAGGCCAUUGAAACCAGCUCCCGACAAUUUCAAAUUUGUUUUCAUGCUAACUGACAAGUUCUCCAAGUGGAUCGAGUACAUGCCACUAGUCAAAGCAACUUCUGAGAAGGCUGUAGAAUUCCUCAAUCAAAUCAUACACAGAUUUGGGAUUCCCAAUAGCAUAAUCACCGGACGAUUCCCAAUAGCAUAAUCACCGGACGGGCACUUAGUUCAUCGGCACUACAUUCUAGGACUUCUGUGAUGACAAAGGCAUAGUCAUAAAAUACUUGUCGAUGGCCCAUCCUUGGGCCAACGGUCAAGUUGAGCGAGCCAACGGAAUGAUUAUCAAUGCAUUGAAAAGAGGCUGUACACGGAAAAUGACAGGGCGCCGGGACGGUGGAUGAAAGAAUUACCAGCAGUGGUCUGGGGUCUCCGAACACAGCCUAGUCGGAACACAGGUGCAUCCCCCUAUUUUAUGGUUUAUGGGGCUGAGGCAGUGCUCCCCUCCGACGUAGCCUUUGGAUCCCCAAGAGUCGAGCAUUUCAACCAGUCUUCAGCAGAACUCACUAGAGAACUCAAAAUCAACUGCACUGAAGAGAGACGUUUGGUUUCUUGCCUUUGAACAACAAAGUAUCUCGAGGCCAUAAGACGAUACCACAACAAGAACAUCAAAGACCGCUCCUUCAUGGUCGGUGAUCUGGUACUCAAAUGGAAAACAAGCCAGGAUGGAAUGCAGAAGUUAUCUACACCCUGGGAGGGACCUUUUGUGGUUGUCGAAGUUACACGCCCUACAUCUUAUAGACUGGCGUACCCAGAUGGAACAAGCCUGCCCAACUCCUGGCACAUAGACAAAUUACGAUGUUUCUAUCCCUAAGUUUCAGUAUAUCUUACAUAUACCUCUCUUUUAAUGAAUAAUAAUAAUGUUUUCUUCUUUGCUAUAUACUUUUACAUAUGCAGAAUACUCGACAAGCACGACAAUAACUUUCCUUGACAAGCUACUCAAGGGCACUCAACAUGAUUCAGUGAUACUUCACUCAAGCAAAUUUAUUUACAGCGCUCAAAACCAUGGUUCUCAAAAUUUGGACUUUAUUACAAACUUUAUAUACAAAGUUUACAAUAAACACCCUCUGGGCGGCUUCUAGUCUAUUCCUACAAACUACUCUAUGAACCUACUACUCGGGCUGAUCACCCUCGUGACUCUCUCGUCCCGCUAAAGGGGUCGGGGCCACUGGCGCGUGGCUGGUCGAGACCAUAGGUGUCAACCGCCCAUCUCCCGCAAUUAACGCCCCCGACAACUCCCUUGCCGACCUGUCUGAUCCUGGCUGCUCGGUGGGGGGGUGGAUGUCCCGCAAAGGUUUAUAUCGCCGAUCACAGUCGACGACAGGUUGAGCAGGCUGACGCGAAGGUCAUCCGCCUCCUUCGGACCGACCUCCUUGGGGUACCCCCUUUCCAGCCCGGACAGGUCGACCAGGGGCUGAUCAGAUCUAGCACUGGAGCAACUCCUUUCCAGAGCUUUCUGCAAUUCGUCUUCCAGCAGUCCCGAUCUUUGACCAGGUCCUCAACGUGCUUCUUGGCGUUGGCUUGAGCACUAUGACUAAUUCCAAGGAAAAAGAAAGCAAACAGUCAGCAACAUGCUAUGGCAAUAUAAAAAACUUCAUGGUCGAAAAGGAAAAAACAGAUCCUACCAGCCAGCUCCCAGCUCCUAGUCUUCAGCUCCUCACCAACCUUGCGCUCGCUUUCCAGCGCAUAGGCACGCUCCUGGUCGAGCUGAUCUCUCUCCUUUCGGAGACGCUCGAUCUCCUCCUCCAGACGUGAAAUAAUAAUUGUUUGUCAUCAAAACCGACAACAUAGUUAAUUGCAACUAUUCGGAAAUUUGACUUACCCUUCCUUUCACGGUCCUUAUCGGCUAGUCACCGAGUUAGGUCCAGCAAACGCUCUUCCUGAGCCACCUUCUCGGCCGCCUCCCUUUCGGCCUCUAGCCGAAGGCAGUCCACCUCCGCGGUCAGGGCCUUGUUCUCGGCGACCACGCCAUCAAUUUGGCCGAAGCACCUUUUCCGGUACUUCACCGUUUCCAUUGCAUCCUACGGAAAUCAAACAUACCACACAGUGAACAAACCAUGGUAUAUAUACAUAUACUCCAGCAGAGCAUAAGAACACUCACCUUAACUUCAUUGACGAGCCGCUUGGUAGCGCGCUCCACCCUCUCCGCCUCCUCGAUCUCAGCGAUCUCCUCGUGGCCGGCCCAAUGAUCCCCGCGCUGGCGCCAUACAUAAACGUGUUGCCGACCAUCAUGGGGACGCCCCUGGAUUUCCUCCAAUUUGUGAUCGAAGGCCGCCUGGGCCUCCUCGCCCUCUGUGCUACCCCCAACCACGGUAACGGGUAUCAUAGGACCCUUACCCCGGCUAGGGGAGCCCUCCAGUGUGGAAGAUUCUGUUGGGGCUAGAGUUGGGGCCUUCUCUUCAGCCGGAGAAGGGGACGGGACCUUGUCUUCCUCCUCCACAGCGCUACUCGGGGGAGGUGUCCCUGCGGUCUCAUUACCCCUUGUCGGGGUGCUUGCCCUCGCCUUGUCUUGGACCGAGUUUUCCUCGGCGACCUCUGCCGCAGCCACAACGGUGGGCUGCUCCACGGGCUGCUCGCGGACAGUCUGCUCUAUGGCAUCCUAAUCGGUAGCUGCUGGCUCGGUUGUCCUCGAGCCCGCAACAUUGCCAGGAUCAACAUCCGAGGUAGCACUACAAAGACGAAUCAAUUCAAAUUACCAUACCGACAUCAAACUUCAUAAAAAAGAGAGAGCGAAGAGACACUUUUCUUGAUGAACUCACAGAUUGGAGCUUCGGUGCGCCGCCGUGAAGAACCUUCUCCUAGCUCUCCCGGCCGUUGCAGCUGUCUCGACCGCCCCCGGUCGCGCCAGCUCGAUGUGCGUGGCAGGCAGAUCUCAGGCAACCCGACCUCCAUCGCUUGGGGUGACAUCUGGGCGGCUGCGGGGUCUGCGGACCAAUGUUGGGGCCGCUUCUUCUCCCUCCUCAUCGUCGUCAACAAUUCUGAUAAGCCGACACCACUUGGGCACUCGGGUGUCCGAGGUGGACCCCUGGCCCAUUAUGGGACCUGUAGCUGCUGGAUUCGAAUCGAAUUCCUAUCCAGCUGGAGGGGUAUUCCUAGCACUCAACCGAGCAUCCCCCGUCGGAGAGCCAACGGGUCACCUUUGGUACGACUCAGGAAUCGCGGCUCCAAUCAGCGCCGCACUCCUAGGGCUACCAUUCUGCCAGGGAGGUCAGGAAUUUUAUCUCACCUGCCUUUGGGCUUACGCCAAUGGUCCCCCACACACCGCACUUCCUCCGGUAGUGCGCACUUUAUACUUGCCGGUCUUUCGGCCUGAGUCAUAUUACUAGGCUUCGCGGUCGGAACGAGUUAUCCGGCCAACUAAGUGUUAGGCAUGCGUUUAAUAUGACAAGAGGACGUACAACGGUCGGUCCUUAGCUGCCACAGACGGAGUCACUACAACCUUGCAAAACUUCGCCUGGCUUAAGACAAAUUAAUCAGGUUCCAUUCAUGAUAGCACAUAUAGUCCAUCGUGAUUCGACAUAACCCUAUAUCGCGCAGGUGAAAGGAUAUCACCCGACUUCUACCGAUUAAAGCAUGGCUAAGCUGCUACUCGAUCCUAACUCUAUAACCAGGUAGUGGUAAGAUAUCUGGACAAGGAUUGAGUAAAAUGCAGCAAAGGUUUCAUCACAACUCCUAUACUUAAAUGCAUCAAUAGAUAUAACGUAUUCAAGUAAACUUUCGAAAGUAAAGGGAGACUUAGUAUGCUCCGGGGCUUGCCUUUUACAAACGAGGCUGGCUCGUGGUUCGGGAACUCAACCUCUUCUUCGGGCUCCUCGAGUCCGGCUUGCUGGACCUCCACCUCCAGGUUGCCCUCCUGGCCUUCGUGGUUCACUUGAAGCUCGUAGGAGGCGGUCGUGUCCGAUGCACCUAUUGCAUGCUCGAUGAAUAAGAAGGUGUGCAUACUAAAGAAUGAAUGCUUGAUAACAUAAUUGACUCACUGGACACUCAUUUACGGAGUAAUGGUUAUAACAAGUCCACACAAGAUGAUAAGUUAAAUUAGCCAAAACCUACCAAGUUACUAUAACAGCAAGCAUCGCAUAACCGAAUUAACUCAGUAAACAGGUCAUAACUAAUGCUAGACAGAUCCAACAAACAUGAGUGAGGACAUUCUGGAAAGCUUAUAAAAUUGUCUACAAAUAAUCUUUAAACAUCACAGCAAGAAUCAUAAGUUAAACAAGCCUUAUAAACAAAGUUCCAAGUUCUGUCCCAGAAAAACAGAAAGCACCUAUUUCUGGAAUCCAACUUGGAACAGCCCUAACUUUCAAACUACUGGACCAAAUGAUCCCAAAUUUAAACCACAGCUAGUUCAUCAUGUUUACCACAACUUUGAUUUAGACAAGUCCUCCAGAAAACCAGGUUAUCAUUAAGUAAGGAUGGAAUUACUACCUUGCUGUCCAGAACAGCUUUUAACCUUUCAAUUAAUUAUUUGAUGACAUAACCAAAACAUAAACAAUGUCAACCACCUCGCUUAUCAGCACAAACACAUCAUAAGACACCCAGCACAUCACAUGAUAACCCCUAAAUACUUAUUAAUAAGACAUUUAUUAAUUUAAUUCCAUAAAGGAGCAUAAUUACAAGAUACUAGUAAAAGUGCCACCAAGGUAGAGCACCAGCAUAAGCAUCAAUUGUUUAUUAUGAUUUUAAUAAGAAAACAAGCCAUAGAAAUAACAUAAAUUACUUAUCACAGAUAUAUCACUCCAAAAAUCAUGAAAUAAUUAUCAUAGCAUUCUAAUACCACACAGAGACUACCAUAAACAUUUCAUAGCAAAAGGAGUAGUAUAACACAAGAUAUGAAUUUACUCAUGAAUAACAAGAUUAAAUUCUAAUAAUUAUUUUUCCCAGAAAACAUGGUUCAUUUUAUAUUUUUACAAAAUAGUAGCCAUCUCAAAGAGUCUCACAAAAUUGGUUUCACAAUUUUUGGAUCCCCAGAACUAGAGAUAUGAUUUUUGCAAGAAAGCCAAAAAUCUGGAAUUUGAACAAAAGGAAGGAGGAGACCGUUGAGUCACUGACAACGGGUCCCACACGUCAGCGACCUAGGGAACAGAGGACAUGUUGACGGUCCUUAAAGCUCACAUUUAACCGUCAACCAAUCAUGGAAAAGGAUCUAAAUGGAACCAACACCUAAACUUAGGGUUUUAUCUGACAGAAUUCCACGAGUUUUGGUGUUUGUCUAUUUCUGCAGGGGGUUAUCAGGAAAUACGGAAGAAAGGCCCACACGUCGGGUUUACAUAGAGAUAUUAACGUGCCGCACAAUUUUCUAUCAUCUAGAAGACUCCAGAAGCCACGGGACCGAACGGGAAGGCAAUCGGGCUCGGAGGCAGGGCGCCCGCCCUACUCUCCUGGGCGCCCGCCCAGCUACAGUGCCCAAUCAAGACUCUCUUUCGGGACAAUGCUCCAUCGACCUAAAGGAUCAAGAAAAACCAUGCGAUUAAUGUCGGUUUGAUGCAACGGCCCAUAUUCACUUGAAGGGACUAUAAAACCAGAACCCCUGGCCCCUGGAGAUCAUACCUCUUCUACAGAAUCAAAGAUAGGGUUUCAAUUCUUCAUCCAAGUAGAGAGGAUCCCUCUAGUUCUUCUAGUUCUACCUCUAGUUCAUCUAGAUCUAGUUCUAGUUCAUCUAGUUCUAGUUCUAGUUGUUCUAGUUCUAGUUCUAGUUAGUUCUAGUUGUAAUCUAGAAAAUAGGGAGCG